GACGAACGCUGGCGGCGUGCUUAACACAUGCAAGUCGAACGGAAAGGCCCUGCUUGCAGGGUACUCGAGUGGCGAACGGGUGAGUAACACGUGGGUGAUCUGCCCUGCACUUCGGGAUAAGCCUGGGAAACUGGGUCUAAUACCGGAUAGGAGCCAUUUUUAGUGUGAUGGUUGGAAAGUUUUUUCGGUGUAGGAUGAGCUCGCGGCCUAUCAGCUUGUUGGUGGGGUAAUGGCCUACCAAGGCGGCGACGGGUAGCCGGCCUGAGAGGGUGGACGGCCACAUUGGGACUGAGAGACGGCCCAGACUCCUACGGGAGGCAGCAGUGGGGAAGAUUGCACGAGGGGCGCAAGCCUGAUGCAGCGACGCCGCGUGGGGGAUGACGGCCUUCGGGUUGUAAAAUCCUUUCGCUAGGGACGAAGCUUUUUGUGACGGUACCUAGAUAAGAAGCACCGGCUAACUACGUG
rnacentral:rRNA from 1 species